UCUCUGUGUAGUCCUGGCUGUCUUGGAAA
rnacentral:piRNA from 1 species